CCGAAACGGGGAUCGCAGUGUUGGGGAAGCGACUUAGCCGGCGACAGGAAAAUACGAAAUGUAUCAACUAUGAACUAAUUUGUUUUGUUGAUUGUUUCUCCUUGACUCAGGUGUGUGCACUGCAGUGCUCAGCGGUGUGUCUGAGAUCUGCGAGAUGCUCGUGAACGUCUUCGCAUGUGGAGGUGUGUGUGUCAGUCAUCCGAAGCAUUUAACACCCGAGAUGUCCAAUAUCAAUAUUUUAGAGAAAUACAUGAUCAGGAUGUAGCAGCAGAUCAUUCCGCAGAGUCAGGAGAAGAAGUUGUGAGACUUUCAGUGGAGGAAACUGGACCGGCCGGGACCCAACACUCAGUGCGUCCUUUCUUCUCCACAGAUCCAUGAGACACCUCCUCCGUCAUGACAUGGAUCCCAACCUUGAGGUCACUCCAGUGCCAGUCUUCCACGUGUCCUGCUGUGGUCAUUUCACCAACUUUUGGUGUUAUCAAUUUGGUGUUAUCAUGGCAUGCUUAAUUUUAGCGGAGACGUUAGCCACAGCUUUAUACUCGCUCGCUUCGGUUUUUUACUUGUUGCUCUGUAAUCAUAUUUCUUGCCGUGACUAAUUUAAAAAAAAAUGGCUGAACAGAUCUGUGUUGCUGAUACUCUAUAACGUGUCUUUUUAAUACAUCAAAGAGAAGUAGGGGUUGGCUGCUAUUUUUCUUGGGGAUUGUUUUAAAUAGAUAUAGUGCAUAUACACUCGAAUCAAUAUUACAUUUGAAAUACAAUGUGUAUAAUAGUGUAUUAUAAUAUAUAAUAACAUAAUAGUUUUAUAUUGUUUAACAUUCUAAAUAAUUUUGUACUUACAUAGACAUAUGUUUUGUUUAUUAUUUAUAAUAUUGGAAUAAUGAUUUGG
ensembl:lncRNA